GAACGCGAAGAACCUUACCCGGGUUUGACAUGCUUGGAUGCCUCCGGGGGAUAACUCCGGUAGGCUGCCCUUCGGGGUGAAACUUGCACAGGUGUUGCAUGGCUGUCGUCAGCUCGUGCUGUGAAGUGUCGGGUUAAGUCCUCUAACGAGCGAAACCCCUGUCGCUAGUUGCCAGCGGGUCAUGCCGGGGACUCUAGGCGAGACUGCCGGCGUCAAGCCGGAGGAAGGUGGGGACGACGUCAAGUCAUCAUGGCCUUUAUGCCCGGGGAUGCACACGUGCUACAAUGGCGUGCACAGAGGCGAAGCGAUACCGCGAGGUGGAGCAAAUCGCAAAAAACACGCCCCAGUUCGGAUUGGGAGUCUGCAAUUCGACUCCAUGGAAGUUGGAAUCGCUAGUAAUCGCGCAUCAGGCACGGGGGCGGUGAAUGUGGUUCCUGAGGC
rnacentral:rRNA from 1 species